rnacentral:tRNA from 1 species
GGCAACGGACUUUGACUCCGUCAUGCGUGGGUUCGAAUCCCGCCUCCCCAGCCA